UACGGAGGGCGCAAGCGUUGUUCGGAAUUACUGGGCGUAAAGCGCAUGCAGGUGGCUGAGUAAGUCGAAUGUGAAAGCCCCAGGCUCAACCUGGGAACUGCAUCCGAAACUGCUUGGCUAGAGUCCCGGAGAGGAAGGCAGAAUUCCCAAUGUAGGGGUGAAAUCCGUAGAUAUUGGGAGGAGUACCGGUGGCGAAGGCGGCCUUCUGGACGGUGACUGACACUCAGAUGCGAAAGCGUGGGGAGCAAACAGG
rnacentral:rRNA from 1 species